GUGACGUUACUCUGAGUGUAUAUCCACACCGGGCAGGCUUGAAAAAUAUGCCUGGCCACGGUGGGAAUCGAACUUACGAUCUUUGGAAUACUAGCCCAAUGCUCUGCCAACUGAGCUACGCGGUCAGGUCGGUUCGAGUAUGUGAUAUUUCGGAACUGAGUCUAUAUAGCUCCUUCGAUAUCAGUGUAAUCUAAUAAUCAUGAUAUUUGCUGUGUUGGUGUUCGAUUCUCACCGUGGCCAGGCAUAUUUUUCAAGCCUGCCCGGUGUGUUUAUACACUCAGGGUAACAUCACAAGCAUUUUAAAACGAGAGUUUACAUCAUCAGACGUCAAUGUGUUCUAGGACACAACGUAACGUGAAACGUCGUUUGAUAAAAAUGACGUCAAUACGGCUAACGGAAGUUCGUUUUCCAGCAAGCGGACGUCACUACAGUGAGUUCUCAAAAUUUUCAAGUUCGCAGACAUCGUGUUGAAAUUUGACUUGAUAUAUUUGUAAGAGUCAUCAGAAGCGAGAGCAGUGCAUGGGCAAUAGUGUAUUGUAUAUGCCUUUUGUUUGCGGGCAGGAAAUUCGCAGCUGAGCUGUGAUUAUCCGUGAGAAACGACCUUGGCUCGGGUUUGUUUCCACAUCAAUUACCAAGGCACUGUACGUUGAUGAAACAAGGUCAAUGAGAGCCUUGAGUGCAUAUAUAAACUGUUCAGUUUUGCGGUUUCGCGAAGUCACAUGAUCAGUUAAAAUACCAAGUUUGGAGUUACAAGUUCUAUUGCAUGCCCUAUCACAAGUUUUCCUUAUAAGAUCUACACACGCAAAAAUCUGACAUGUUGUAGCAAGUCUGCCAAAAAACCGUCAACAGGUUGAAGUUGUGUUCGCACUGCUUGUCCCAAGUUGUCAACAAGUCAUGAUAUAACAAA